UACGUAGGGUGCAAGCGUUGUCCGGAAUUAUUGGGCGUAAAGAGCUCGUAGGCGGUUUGUCGCGUCUGCUGUGAAAAUCCAGGGCUUAACCCUGGACCUGCAGUGGGUACGGGCAGACUGGAGUGCGGUAGGGGAGAUCGGAAUUCCUGGUGUAGCGGUGAAAUGCGCAGAUAUCAGGAGGAACACCAGUGGCGAAGGCGGCACUCUGGGCCGGUACUGACGCUGAGGAGCGAAAGCAUGGGGAGCGAACAGG
rnacentral:rRNA from 1 species